CCCUUAGAUGUUCUGGGCCGCACGCGUGCUACACUGACGAAGUCAGCGAGCAUCUCCUACGCCGAAAGGUGCGGGGAAUCUUGUGAAACUUUGUCGUGCUGGGGAUUGAUUUUUGAAAUUCUUGAUCAUAAACGAGGAAUUCCUAGUAAGCGCAAGUCAGCAGCUUGCGUUGAUUACGUCCCUGCCCUUUGUACACACCGCCCGUCGCUACUACCGAUUGAAUGGUUUAGUGAGAUGUUUGGACCGGAACUCUCUUGCUCAGCAAUGGGCGAGAGAGAGUCUGGGAAGUCCCUCUAACUGUAUCAUUUAGAGGAAGUAAAAGUCGUAACA
rnacentral:rRNA from 1 species